UCCUAGGUGACUGAAUAUAAGUGUUAGACUUUUAAUCUAAAAAUGGCCACUUCAGUGGCCCCUAAGA
rnacentral:tRNA from 1 species